GGCUGCUAUCCAGAACCAAACCUCUCUCAGGAGGUAGACAAAAGCCAUAAACUUAUCCAAAACAUGUUACAAAGGCAUGCUCGCGAGGACGCAAGGGGAGCGACCAGGCACGCACCUACCUUCAAAAGGGACAAGAGCUCUCCAGUACCUGCUGUGGACGAAUCUGGGACUACUACCCAGACAAAGGGAACUGGGCACUCGUCAAUACACCUGCCCUGGAGCGCUUCUGGAUGCUGCAUGAGUUUCUCUCUCCCUGCAAUUCGGUAAAGAACACGCUGCAAAA